AAGCCCUGUAACAAAAGAAAAAGAAGCAAACGGAACAGUUUUUUUUACUCUUCAAAAAAUAUCUGUCUGAAAAGUCUACACUUUCUCUCUAUCAAAACUUUUUUUUUUUGCGAUUCACCACUACUGUCAAACCAGUUUCUCAGAUCUCUUCAGAUCUUAUCCAAGCGGUUGAAGUAUUAGCUACAUGAUGUGUCUAACGCAUCUAUGAAGAAAGAAAAGUUUGAUUUGUGCAAGGUCGGGCAGAAAUAUAAUCAAAGCUGGAGUAAAGUGUCUAACAUUGCAAACCAUUGAAGAUAAAAAAUAGGAAUGUCAAACACUUUCAUAAUUACAAUAGAAUUGUAUAGAUUGCGGUAGCUAUUAUUUUCCGGAAGGUGGGGAUUACUUUCACUUGAAUACACUAACUGGUUUUGAAUGGUUUCACGCCAGAAAGGCGUGGAUGACUUCGGCUUCUCAACCAAGUUGUUAAUCGCUUCAAGGUACACGAUCCUUUUUUGGAUGACAUUAUAUGAGAAGAAGCGUUUUGAAUUCUGUGUGUUUGCUUUGAGACAAAUAAACUGUAUAUAUAGGAAAAUAAAAGUUAGUGUAUUUUAGGAUAUUCCACAGUUUAAUAUUGUUAGAGAAUAUAAGCCGUUAGUUUAGCAAAAUCAUAUAUCUUGCGAAUCAAGUUUUUUCAAGAUAUAAAAACUUAAAUUUUCGGGUUUUUAUGAUAUAGAUUUAAGUUUCCGAAUUCUGCGGUUUGUUGUUUUCAUUGGUUGUUAUUGAUAUUUUAAGAUAUGGAAAUAUAAAUAUCGAUUUAUGAGUUAGUAUAUUCGGUAUUGUUAUUUAAGCAAGUUCCGAAAAUCAAGUUUAUAUACUUAAAUUUAAGUUUUUUAUUUAAUGGUGUAGAUAUUUAUGGUUAUUGAUUUGAAAAAGAUUGGUACUUAAUGAUCUAGUGUAUUCUAUAUGGUUAUGUAUGGAAUUUCCGAAAAUCUAGUAUAUUUGCCAAAUUUUUAGCUUUUGAUUUAGUGGUUUAUAUUUUUGGUUAUUUAUUUAUAAAACUGUGCAAAUCCUAUAAUUUGGUCGACUAUAUUGCACAUUGGUUAAUCCGUUGAGGAUUCAAAGCAUCUGUAUUUAUUUUGUAUAAGUUUAUUGUUUAUAUUAGUUUAUAUGCUGAAAAUAUAUAAACAUGAAUCGGAAAAUUAAAAAGGAUCGAUAUUCGUGAUUUUAAACAACGCAACAGGUAUGUUUUCUGGUGCAAUUGUUUGUAAUCAAAACAUUGAUUGGAAGUGAUGAAUGGUUGAUACACUAAUAUUAACGUAAUGUAUUGUUUUUAAUUUUCAUUUGCAGAAUCCAAUAAACUUUGAACCUUGGAUGUCCAUGGAGCAUUAUUAUAAAUAUACAAAGAUUUGGUACAUAUAUUGUCUAAGAAAUGAGUAUCAGUGUGUUAUAACAAUAGAAACUUCGACGUAAUCUAUAAAAUAUCCUUGGAUAAGAA